AUUUUUUAUAGGACUCUGGAGUGAAGGGAUUAAUAUUGACCAGAGCCAAUGAGGUCAUCUCAUCCUUGAGGGGAGCAGGUGUGAGCUUCAAAUGCUUAGGGCCUCUGGAAGGAAGCUUCCCUGUUGGAGAAAUCACCAACCGGCUCAGCAUGGUCUGAAUGAGGAUGACAAAAGGAGUUGCUGCACAGGGGGAAAGCGAAGUUCCCAGGAGUAAGAUGUGCAAGAAGGGGGCAGCCUUGCAUCUCAGGGCUGAGUUCCCUCAACUGUGUGCUUGAGGGAAGUUCUCCCCUUGCAGACACACUGCUGAGUGAUAAGGAAGCGCCUAGACUCCACUCUGACCAGACUUGGUUCUGAGGCCUAUGAAAUGUUGAUGGGAAGAACAGAAGCAGGAAAAUCUAUCUAUUCAAAUUUGCAAGACGUGGAAACUUUUAUUCACCUUCCUGGUUAGACUGUUCCUUUGUCAAAGUAAAGCUAAGGCCAUGGAAAAUGAGCUAUUUGAGAGUCUGUCGCUCCAAGGAAGAACAUGCUGGCCUAAUUGUCCCCCAAGUCAGGAGAGAGAAUUGUAAAAAACACUUAAACAGGCCUAAGUAAAGGUCCAGCACAUUAUUUAUUUAAGACUGAAUUAGGACUGAGUCAUUCUGACUCUGAAAAAAGAGUGUUGUUGGAUUCUUAUGUAUUUAGUGGGUCUGCCCUAUUGAAAACCAUUGUGAAGUAUGGUUUCCCAAGCAAGAAAUGACACUUUCACUGUCAGUCUUUCUAGGAGUCUGGCAGAAUCCAGGACCGGGAUUACCCUUAUUUAUGAAGCGACCUUAGACUAACAGUGGCUCUCUGGGUCUCCAGACAAUUGGCCAGGGACUCUAAAAACCAGAAACAAAGUUGAGAGAACUCCAUGCUGGUGGAGAAAAACAGCUGGCCUUUAUCACCAGAAUGUGCCCCAUAGAAGCAGCAAAGCAGCAAGCGACGUUCUUAAACAAGGGCCUGUGGGCCUCGUCAAGAUCUGGAGGAAUCAUCUACGACUCACUGCUGAGUGAGAGGGCUAGGCAGUGUCUUUAAGGUCCUGCCAGCUUUAACAUUGUAUGCUUUUUCUUUUGUUCAAUCUCUCACCACAACUGGAAGUGUUGCCUCAACUACACAGGAGAAAGUUUGCAGUAACUUAGAGAAAACAUUAUUUUAAUCACCAGUGUAUGUUCUCCUGCUCCCUGGACAAAUCCAUCAGCAGCGGCAACACUGACCAGGUCCAGAUUGGGGCCGCUGCGGUGGAUGUGAAUCCAUUGAAACUAGGGGUCUCCAGUGCUCCUGACUCCUCACAGCUCUGUUCCUAUGACAAGGAUGGUCAGCAAAGCCAGCAACCUUGAAGGGGGACCUUCUCCUAAUCUCCUCCCUGCCUGCUGAGAGAGUGUACAGAAGCAGCCACUUGUCAGCUGCGAUGAAUCCAAUGAUAAUUACAUAAAUCAUUAACAAUACUUGAUAUUUGCCCAUCACAUUUCUCAUUUCAAAGUGCUCGUAAAAUUGUAUCUCAUGGGUGGCACUGCCGGCACAACAGAAUUCCAAGGAAGGAUUACGGGCUAAGUAAAUAAAGCCUGGAGGCUGCUUUGAAGCCUAGGAGUCUGUUAUUAACCCUUUCCUCCUUUUUGUUUAACUUUUUCUCAUGGAAAUGUUCAAACAUACCAAAAAUAGAGAAAAUACUAUAAUGAGUCCUUAUGUAUCCAUAACCUAGCUUCAAAAAUUAUAUAUGGCUUUACAGUCUUGUUUAGUUCAUAACUGCAACUUCAUUGAGGGUGAGUGCUGGGGUAUUCUGAAGCAAAUCAGUGACAACAUAUUUUACCCAUGGAUACUUUAGUGCCAUUAAUAAAAACCCCUAGGUUAUUCUAUUAAUUUGAAAUCUACUAUAAAUCUAUCUGAUGAAUAAAUCAAACAGAUUUUAACAAAUUGCUUCUCUUGCCAAAGUUUCCCAUUUGCUAGAACUAGAGAUUAUUCAUCAAAAUAGCUGUGACAGUAGAAACAUACCACUUGUCUACACACACAACACAUAGCAUACUUAGUAUAGGAAUAGAUCUCUGAUUUGAUGUCCCAGUAAUUUAGAGAUUGAUGAUAUCCUACCAAUACUUUAAGGAGCAGACAUUUCAAAACGAUUGUACAGACCCACUAGUCUGACCUUUUCUCUGUUAGUCACAGUUGGGCUGUGGUCAUUCCUGGAGUCCCUAAGAUUAGAACAGGUAAUGGGUCACCUGUGUGACCUGCACCAAGGCCAGCCCCACCGCCCCCGGCCACAGAAAUAAGAUCUCUCUCUCUCUCUGUCUGUCUCUGUGUGUGUAUGUAUGUGUGUAUGUCUGUUUCUGCCUCUCCCACAUCACACACAUACAUACACACACACACACACACACACACAGUGCCUCACCGGGAAGAAAUGAGCAGGUAUGGAGGAGACAUUCUCAGAGAUGGAUCUCUACUGUGCUCCGUCUUGACUUAUUUGCUGUCAGUGCUCCAAGGGAUGAGCUCUGGAGGUCAUCAGUAACUUGGUCAAACAUCCCCAGCUACUUCUUCAUCCUUCUGAUCCAAUCAAGAGAUUCCUACGCUGAAGUUUCACCUUCAUAAAACAUUUUGUGAUUUUUUUGAAAUGUGGUAAAGAAGAAUUUAAGCUCUUCCGCAGUAGGUAACUACUAGAAACUGAAGAUAAACUGUCAAAAGUGGCUGUUUCUAAGGAUGGAGAAAGGGAUGGCGGGGUUAGAGGAGGUGGUUGCUGCACAGUGUGUCUUGCGUGCAAUUUGAUCAUUUAACUUUUUGCCAUAAACAC
rnacentral:lncRNA from 1 species